AUCUGGGAAGACCCCCAAGGGGCCCCCCUUGCUCGGUGGCCUCCUCUCUUAGCUUUAGUGAGUUUAAAUGUCCACGCGUGGCCAGGGGCGCCCCGAGGGGCGGUGCCGCCGGGGAGAAGCCCGGGGGGCAGGGCCAGUCCUCCAGUUGCCGCCGCGCUCCCGCCCCGAGCUGUGCAGCUGCGCCGAGGACCAGCUGCGUGAUGAGUGCGUGGAGGCGGCCACCAGCCCCAGGGCUUCCCGAGUGACUCCAGGCCGGAACAUGGAACUUGCGUGUGUCUGGACCCUCGACCCGUCCGGGGAGGCGAUGGAGCGAGCAGGCGGCGACCGGACUACCGAGGUGUUAGGGUGAAUAAACUCCCGCUUUCUCCCUU